rfam:Firmicutes bacterium CAG:103 genomic scaffold, scf234
CGGAGGAACUCUGGAGAAUCCCGUGCCAAGCGGGUGCCGAAGGUGCAAGGCGAAAGCCGAAUCUCUCAGGCAAAAGGACAGAGCGAGUGCC